rnacentral:rRNA from 1 species
GAGACGCAACCCCUACUUGUUAGUUGCCAUCAUUCAGUUGGGCACUCUAGCGAGACUGCCGGUAAUAAACCGGAGGAAGUGGGGAUGACGUCAAAUCAUCAUGCCCCUUAUGACCUGGGCUACACACGUGCUACAAUGGUUGGUACAACGAGUUGCGAGUCGGUGACGGCGAGCUAAUCUCUUAAAGCCAAUCUCAGUUCGGAUUGUAGGCUGCAACUCGCCUACAUGAAGUCGGAAUCGCUAGUAAUCGCGGAUCAGCACGCCGCGGUGAAUACGUUCCCGGGCCUU